AUUUAUUUAAAAAAAAAAACCUGCCACUAAAGUCAGAGAAGUGUGAAUUCUGUGUAUUUGCUUUUAGUUACGUAAUUUAAAAUCCUCCAUGUUUUUGUUCCGUCAGGUUGGAAGGUAGAGCAGCAACACCAGGAUCGGUGUCUUUGUGAGGGAAAACCUAUGAAAGUAUAAUACAACAAACAGAAAAAAGAAGAAAGACUCUGUUGGCUUCAAGCAAGAAAUCAAAAAGUCUCUUGUCAGCAGGAAAGUUUUGAAACAUGGACACGAAGGACUGAAUGAACAAGGAAAGCUUCAUCACUGAAGGACUGAAGAGAGCUUCAAAUCAGUGGAAAACACUUCAGUCCCACAGUGAAUAUGGAAGAGAUGUUUGUGACCUCAUUCAGCCCAUGUUAAGAGCUCUCCAAAAGUGGAACAGCAGCAGAGAUAUGGGUGAAGACGACACAGACUCCUGGUUCUCUUCCACCUGUGAUAGAGUCUUCCACAGGCCUGGGGUGAGAGUGAAAAUGGCAGGUGGAUACAAGCUCACAGGAGAGCUGGACAGAGCGAGUCCAUCCAUGUGUCCUUCCUUUUAAAGUGAAAGCAUCAGAGAGCCCUCUAUGGGCGGUUGGUUGUAACUGCUCUCCUAUCAGGGUUGCUCCGGUUGGACAAGGUUUCUUGAUUCUACAUGGUGGUCUUCAGAGUCUUUUUAUGCAAAUUAGGGUUAAAAUGACAUUUUUAAAGGUUUUCCCUAUACCAAGACACCGAUCUUAAGUCUUCAGCACAGGACUUUCGUAUGAAGUAAUGAGGCGUAUCCUAAUGAUAACCAAUCCUCACGAUCCUUGGAUGCUUGGUUUCUCUGAUCUCUACUGUACAUUCCAGUAUGGGACGUUUAACCCUCUCUUUGAAUGUGUUUUUUUUCUUCUCCUACUUGUUUUAACGUCUACUGAAUGCAAUGUGUAAACGUGGACAUGAGAAUGCACGCACAAUUUAAAAACUGAAAAAACACAAAAACAACACAUAGGUUCUUUUCUCACCACUUUUAAUAUGAACGCCAACCAUUAGUCCUAGACUUUUAGGAGAGGGAAUAACUACCGGUGUGCCCACAAGUGUGAGAUCCACCAAACGAAGGCCUGUCCUCGGCUCUUUAUUAGCCAUCGCAAAGCCAUUUUUGUCUGCUCCAGAAUCUACAGGGGCAUCUUUUUGUUGUUGAUUUUGUCUCAUCUUCUUGUUUCUUUCCAUUUUUGCCUGAUAAUCACUGGAUUAAAGAGCCUUAUUCAGUACAGUUUUUACUUGUAUACCUCAUGUUGUGAAAUGUCCAUAUUGUGCUGCUUUUUUUUUUGUUUGUUUUCUUACACUGUAUAUUACUGUAUGUACAUAAAACAGAGAUCUACGUAUGUAAGUUUGUCAUUGCUGUAUUCAGCAAAACACUUUUAUGGAAAUGUGGUUUUUAUGUUGUUCAUUUCCUUUGCAAUUCCUUUAUAUAUAUUUUACAUUUUUAUCAGUUUGGUUCUAUUUUGUUUAAUGAUAUGAUUUUCUCAUUGGUUUAAUAAAAGCAAUAGCAUGCAGAAAAUGCUAAAUAGC
rnacentral:lncRNA from 1 species